rnacentral:rRNA from 1 species
GACUGUUUACCAAAAACAUAGCCCUACUAUUUUAUGUAAGGUGAAACCUGCUCAAUGGCUGCUUAUAAAUAAUAACAACAGUUAAAUAGCCGCGGUAACUCUGACCGUGAUAAAGUAGCAUAAUAACUUGUCAUUUAAUUGAUGGCUGGAAUGAAUGGUUCUACGAAUUUACAUCUGUCUCCAAAAGAAAUUUAGAAAAUUUAAAAUAGCAGUGAAUAUUCUGUUUAUUAAUUGAAAGACGAAAAGACCCUAUCGAGCUUUACUGAACAUUUAUAUAAUAUAACAUUUAAAUAUAACAAAUGUAUAAAGUUGUAAAUUGAUCAGUUUGGUUGGGACAACCACCUCUAAAAAAGUAUCAGAGGUACUCUAAUGGUUUAUAAAGAUAAUAUUAUUAAGCCUUACUGAAUAUAAACUAAUUAAUCAGUUAUAAAAUACAUAGGAUAUAUUGAACCGUUGAUUUAUUUUCAACUAAUCAACUAUAAUGAAAAAAGUUACCGUAGGGAUAACAGGGUAAUAUUUUUAAAGAGUCCAUAUCGAUGAAAAUGUUUGCCACCUCGAUGUUGAAUUGUGAUAUCCUAAAAAUGCAGCAGUUUUUAAAGGUUGGUUUGUUCAACCAAUAAAAUCUUACAUGAUUUGAGUUCAUUCC